AUGCCGCCAAAAGGAGAUUAUCCUGUAAUUGAGAAACUUUUGGACCAAGAGGAAAUCUUUUGGUUACAAAGAGGGCGUGCGAAUUGGUUGGUGCAUGGGGAUCGAAAUGAUUUGGGAGUUUGGAGGGAAGAUAAGGAGUUGAAGGACCAUAUCAUUGAUUAUUUAUCAAAACUCUUCACAUCGGAAGUACAACAACCAAACCAAGAGGUUUUGUCCCUUGUUCGUAGGAGAGUUUCUUCUGAGAUGAACAACACUCUCCUAGCCCCGUAUACGGCCGAAGACUUUUGUAAGGCGUUGUUUGAUAUCGGGGAUCUAAAAGCCCCAGGCCCAGAUGGAUUACAUGCUAUCUUCUAUAAAAUAUUCUGGCCCAUGCUAGGGGAUGAUCUGGUUGAGGAGGUCCUACAAGCAAUCAAUACAUGUACCACCCCAGAUGGCUGGAACGAUACUACAAUGUGA
rnacentral:rRNA from 1 species